rfam:Salmo salar isolate Sally breed double haploid chromosome ssa21, whole genome shotgun sequence.
UGCAUUCACUACUGUAAGUCGCUCUGGAUAAGAGUGUCUGCUAAAUUACGUAAA